rnacentral:tRNA from 1 species
GGCUCAGUGGUAGAGUGCUUGCCUUGCAUGCAUGAGGCCUUGGGUUCAAUUCCCCA